ACGCUCGACACCUACGGGAAGCAGCAGUGGGGAAUAUUGCACAAUGGGGGAAACCCUGAUGCAGCGACGCCGCGUGAGGGAAGAAGGUUUUCGGAUUGUAAACCUCUGUCCUUGGUGAAGAAAGCAGACGGUAGCCAAGGAGGAAGCCACGGCUAACUACGUGCCAGCAGCCGUGGUAAUCUGAGCGGGCUGGCAAGGC
rnacentral:rRNA from 1 species